AACACUCUUUUCUCAUCCUCCAUCUCCCUUAGGGUUUUGACGACAUUGAGCACCUCCUCCUUCUUGUGAUGCAAUUUUCCUCGUGGCUCUAAGGUACUACCGUUGAUCUCCUCUCUCACCAUGAUGGCAAUUGUUUUCCUCCAUCAUUGUUGAUGAUUGGAAAUCUUCAGAAAAUGGAGAAGAGAGAACUGAACCAAUAUUUUAUAGGGAAAAUGAAAUAAGAGAUAUGUUUUCAUCCACAUGUGGGACGUAAUAUUCCUCACAAGUCAGACACAAGGAGGUGGCGUAGAAGACAGAAGCGGGAGCAGCUUCUCUGAGAGAGAGAGAGCCAUACACAAUCAAAAAGAGCAAAAUAGGUUAUUGCAAACAGAGCAUCAGAGAUUCUUGGCCAUAAGCGUUGUGUGAAGUUUGUGCAUCCAAAUGACCAUGUUAAUAAAGCACAAUCUUCUAAUGAUACCUUCCUAACUAUAAUGCACAUUGCAGCAGCAAUGGAAAUAAACUCAACACUUUGCCAAGCACGACUUAUCUGCUCUAAUAUUCGCUUAAUUAAAAAAGGUCAAUUUGAGCUGGAGAAUCUCCGCAAAGACUUCAACAAGAUCAAUACGGAAGUCUCCAUAGUAUAGUGUGUCAGUAUCUUUAUUUUUGGAAGUAGGUUUUUUUUUUCUUUUUUUAAUACUAGUA